rnacentral:rRNA from 1 species
GUCCGCCAGAGAACUACGGGCGAAAGCCUAAAACUCAAAAGACUUGACGGUGUUCCAACCCUUCCUAGAGGAGCCUGUUCCAUAAUCGACAAUCCCCGAUCAACCCGACCACCUAUUGAAAUAUCAGCCUAUAUACCGCCGUCACCACGCCUACCUUCUGAAAGACAAAACAGUAGGCACAAUAGUCCACAAACUAGUAAGUCAGGUCAAGGUGUAGCUUAUGAGGUGGAGGAAAUGGGCUACAUUUUCUCUAACAGACAACCACCGACCCCGCCCUGAAACCGGACGAGCAAAGGAGGAUUUAGCAGUAAGCCAAAUGAGAGCAUUUGACUAAACACAGCCCUGGAACACGUACACACCGCCCGUCACCCUCCUCAACACCAUCAACCAAAUACAUAAUAAACUUUAUACCAACAAGAUGAGGCA